CUAUUCUCUCUUUAGUCAUUCUUUCUCCAUUUCUAAACAAUCCAAUUUUUUUUUCACCUUCAUAUACAUUCGGUUUUUUUUUCUAUCAGAAAUUAUUAUUUCAAUAAAAAGCUUCCACAAGUUGUUGUUUCAUACAACGUUUGAAUAUUUUUAUUGAGAAAAAACGUUCAAUAGUCUGCAAAAAAAAAAAAAUGAGACACACAAAUAUGAAUUGUGUUAAUUUGCACUCAAUCAUGAUAUAUCAUGAAGGAAGAUGGGAUGCCUCAGGUAUAUCUUGAUUAUUAACUUUGAUAUUUUACAUUAAUUCUUUUUCUUUUCUUUCUGAAAUAUAUAUAUAUAUUGUCUAAUUAUUGAUUAAGAAAAAAACAUUAAGAGAAAAAGUUAAUAUUAUUUUUUAUAUUUAUUUUUAAUUAUGUGAUAUUGACAUGUUGGUUAUUCACGAGAACGUGGUGGAAAGUCACAAAAAAUAUUGUUCAAUCAAUUUAUAGGUGUAUGAUUAUUGGUUGUCAAAUGUUUCCAUUCGGUUAUAUUACAUUCAGUGACCCAUUAUGAUAUUGUAUUUAUUGUUUUAGUAAUUUUUAAAUUUUUUAAUUUUAUUGAUGUGUAUGUUUUGACAAUAUUAAAAUAUGUUGAAAUUAUCAAAUUUCAUAUGUUUAUCAUUUUUUUAUUUUUUUGAUGUGUAUGUUUUUUGAAUUUUAAAAUAUGAAUUUUAAUUACAUAUCAUUAUCGAUUAUUGAGUAUUAGUUACUUAACAUAUCUAUAUAAUAUUUGCAGGUAGACCUAAAGAUUUUUCUAUAGAUGAAAUUAUGUAUGAUGCAAAUACCAAGUGUAAAGAAUUGCUAAAUGCAAUAGCAAAACAACUCAAGAUCGACAUCAACUCAAUUCAAAUUUGAGAUUAAGUUCUUGAUUGAUAGAUCCCCAUCAAUGAUCAUACACAAUGAUACAGGAGUCAUGAUGUAUCUGGAUAAAAAAAAAUUGUUAUCAAUAAUCAUACAUAAUGAUAAAGUCAUGUUAAACUUUUGUUAUGUUUCUGCAUGAUGUUUUCAG
rnacentral:lncRNA from 1 species